GCAGGCUGCAACCCGCCUGUAUGAAGUUGGAAUCGCUAGUAAUCGCGGAUCAGCAUGCCGCGGUGAAUACGUUCCCGGGCCUUGUACACACCGCCCGUCACACCAUGAGAGUCGGAACACCCGAAGUCCGUAGCCUAACCGCAAGGGGGCGCGGCCGAAGGUGGGUUCGAUAAUUGGGGUGAAGUCGUAACAAGGUAAC
rnacentral:rRNA from 1 species